rnacentral:rRNA from 1 species
GACGAACGCUGGCGGCGUGCUUAACACAUGCAAGUCGAACGGAAAGGCCCUGCUUUUGUGGGUUGCUCGAGUGGCGAACAGGUGAGUAACACGUGAGUAACCUGCCCUUGACUUUGGGAUAACUUCAGGAAACUGGGGCUAAUACCGGAUAGGAGCUCCUGCUGCAUGGUGUGGGUUGGAAAGUUUCGGCGGUUGGGGAUGGACUCGCGGCUUAUCAGCUUGUUGGUGGGGUAGUGGCUUACCAAGGCUUUGACGGGUAGCCGGCCUGAGAGGGUGACCGGCCACAUUAGGACUGAGAUACGGCCCAGACUCCUACGGGAGGCAGCAGUGGGGAAUAUUGCACAAUGGGCGGAAGCCUGAUGCAGCAACGCCGCGUGCGGGAUGACGGCCUUCGGGUUGUAAACCGCUUUCGCCUGUGACGAAGCGUGAGUGACGGUAAUGGGUAAAGAAGCACCGGCUAACUACGUG